UUUGAAAAACAAAGGGAGAAAAGAAAUCUAUGCAGAUCCAAAAAUACUAUCUUGUUUUUAAAAUGACAUUUUUAACCAUAAAAUAAAUGGUAUCUUAUGAACACGUUCCCCUGCUUUUCUAGCUGUCUUUAGCAGGUGGGUUAUAACCAACUGCAUAGCGUGCACUUACCAGAAGUCCUUCUGGUGCUUGGUACUUAUUUAAAUAUUAACUCAAGCAU
rnacentral:lncRNA from 1 species